ensembl:lncRNA
UAUGUAUCUGUCAAUGACGUUUUAUCCAUUCAGAUGGUUGUGUGGCUCAUUUUAAUGCAACAAUUAGCAACCUUUUGCUAUGAUGUUAUUUUGAGAAUGGACCACAAGUGUGAAUGUCUAUAGAAGAGUAAUGAACAAUGAAUGACAUUAUGUUAUGACAUUAGUCAGUAAGAUUAUUUGUCUCAUGCAGAUUGGACUACUUAGUAAACAGCUGAUUUAGAGACACAUUGUAUAUUCACUAUCAUUACAAUGUAUUCCCUUAGAAAACAUUCUUAUACAGAGUGACAUAUGCAAGCCAUUAGUAUUAAGUGCCUUGUUCAAGGACACACCGGGUUUAUCACCUUGUUAGCACCAGAUUUUAAAUCCAAAACCUUUUAGUUACUGGCCCUACACUCUACCCAAUAGGCCUUCUCUUCAAUCAUUAGGGAAGUUAAAUAUGUAACUGAGUCUGAUCUAUCAGCACACAUACUUUAUAAUUAGCACGGUUGGCUAUUCAAUUCACAAUCGUAGCAAGUGAUGUUAUUUUAUAAUUGGAUGACAGAGAUUCUUAUUUCCCGAAAACGUAUGCAAAUGUAUUUGAAAAGCAUCACAGACUGGUAAAUGUCACAGUGCAGUGAUGGCAUUUUGUAAAACUUUUAUCUCGAAUCCACCAAGUCACAUUUAGCCAUUUUGACGCCACUAUCACUGUUGAGGCUGUCAAGGCCGAGGUAAUCUAUCUCAACCCACAAUGCCUAGUGCUGACUAGGAAACAAUGACAUUCUGAUAGAGAUCUCUGCUUCCGUGCUUUCCCACUCUUAUUAGUGUAUAAAGGCUAAAUCGAAUCAAAUAAAUACUGACUAAUUAAAUGGGAUAUUAUGUAAGCCCGCAUACUUUGAACUAUUGAACAUUUAUGUGCAUCUUGUCAGAAAUUAUAUCCACCACAGUCAUUAUUAUAAUUCAUGGUCAUACAUCAUACAGUAGCUAAGUCAUACGUUGGCUGGUAGUAAAAUGUAAUGAAUGCCUUCUUCAGACGAUCUGUGGACCUGUUAUUGAAUAAAAACUAAAAGAAAACAUGUACAAUGCCCUCCAGACAUAUUGGUAAAAAGGCUUUUUUAAUAAGUUGAUUUGAGUCACAAGGAACUCUGAAGUGGUCAUCCAUGACUUUCUGUUUCACUGGGGUAUAAAUAUGUAGUGGCAUGCCACACUUGUUGAGUUAUCUGUCAAAAUGGGGAAGGUCAGGGAACAUGAAAUUAGAUAAAAUGUAUAAAUUAGGCAAUGACCAUAUCAAAUGAAUAUACCCAUCUCCCCUAUUAGGGCAAUAACUAAAACGUUUGAAGAGGGCAUAAGUGUUCUUGACACGAUGCAUAGUAAUGAGAAUGAUUUAGGAGGUAAACAUUUUCCAAGGAUAACAGUAGGAGAACUGCAGAGCUUAUAUGAGUCUUGUAGUCACCAAAUCUCCCAAACUGCCUCAUAUCCAAGCCAACAAUGUUUAUUCCUUAUAAAUAUAAUUGCUGUAUUGUUUGUAUAUCAUUAGUGACUGAUAUUGAGGUUAUUUUACAGCACUCUGAGCAACACUGAACUGAAGCUAUCUAAAACAUCAAUUAUGUAAAUUAAUGCAGGAGAACUGGUGGGAGUUGACCAAUCUAGCUUAUGAUUGGUCAAAAACAUAUCCACUUAUACUUGCCAUUGCAUGAACAACUGAUACAAUCGAAGGUACUUGGUACAUGUCGGUUAUUCAAAAGAACAUGAUAGAGUUGCCCUGAAAUUCCAGCAUUCACUGUGGCUGUAGUGGAGACACAUACUGUAUCAGUGUUUGGUAUUCCAAUUCAGUCUUUUGUACGAGGCAAGCAACUACCAGGCCAUUUUGGUGAACUACUGUAGUAUUCACUGAGCAUCUAACCAAAGUAAUCACAGCAAAGCCCCUCUCUUUUUAAUGCAUGAUAACAACAAGAUCCUCUUGAAAAUGUUCAACAAGUUAAAAACACUUGAAUGCCAUUCAAGUGCUGAAGGGGCAAAGCAUUUAGGAAAAUGACAAUAACAACUGCCAUAAAAGAACUAGUAUAAUUUUUUGUAUUCACCCAAGAGUUAGAGUGCAUUUAAAAUAAUGACGUAUGUCUUUUUGGAUGUAACAUUGACAUCAUUAUCAUAAAGCAUUGUUGGCGACAUAUUAAAUCUACAGAAUCACUGAGUAAUUUUAAUAAGAAAAAACCCAAAAUAGUGCUUGUAUAGAUGUGUAUUUUUCAGGGCUGGCAAGAUGUGCUAAGAGUCUGAAUCCUAAAGAAAGUUAGCAAGAACUAGGACAUGCAUCUUCUCUAUUGAACACCGUCUGUGCUACUCUCUCUCUCUCGCUCGCUCGCUCUCUCUCUCGCUCUCUCUCUCACUUUCUCUUUCGCUCUCUCUCUCGCUCUCUCUCUCUGUCUCUCGCUCUCUCUGUCUCUCGCUCACUCUCUGUCUCUCGCGCUCUCUCUCGCACUCUCUCUCUCUCGUUCUCUCUGUCUACAGGCCCAUGGUGUCUGAGUGUGCAUCAAUGUGUGCAUCUCUGUGUGAUCAGACCCACUCAUCAGCUCAUGCUGAUACCACCACAGUGUGGGCAUUUCAACUACACACAUUUGCUUCAUAUUCAGCAGAGAAAUCUAUAUUCUUCUCAUCCAGUGGGAAUUCAAUGGGUUUUUCUGUGAACAUCAUGGGCCUGAAACAACUUAUAUUUGACCUCCUAGAAAUCUGUAUUCACCCCUUAAUAACAGCUUCUUAGUGUGACAUGAUUUCCGGGGCACCACAAUGAUGUACAAAUAUAAAUGUAAUUCUGAAAUUGUAUACAUGUUUUAUUUUAUUGUGCCAGACAUUUGAUAUGUUCUUGUUGUCAUGUAAGUUUUGAUAGGCUACACAUUUGCAAUAUUGGUCAGUUAUUGUCAGAGAUAUGAAAUAUCCAUUAAUCACAAUGAUUGUCAACAUAGAUAUCAGACAGAUCUGUCUAUUGAAUGUGACUUUAUCUUUUCAUUAAAAUGUACUUCCUCUCGGAAAUUGGAUUCAAUGUGACAAAAAUGAUUUGCUUCGUGAAAGUAUCAAUUAGCUUAGUAUGUGUCUGUGUGUUUAGUGAUACAAUGCAUUGUGAUUUAGAAUAAGAUGAAACUGAAACGCUAGUAACUACCAAGGAAAAAGUGUUCACUGCAAGAGAACAAAACCCAUAGUGCAUUAUUGGAAUUGACACCACACAUGUUACCUGUACAGGUGGAGAUAACGGAUGUUUGAUGAUUGAACAACAGGCAUAAUUAAUAUUAGAACAGAUAAUCAGCAGUUGUAGUCUAACAUAUGAAACAUGACUGGUCCUACCCAGUCAAAUCAUACACGGGUUGAGAAAAAAAAGGCUUUCUGCCCGUUAUUGGUAAUGUAAUGGGGAACAUUAGCAUGCCUUCGUACAGUUUCAUCAUUAUUCACAAUUCAUUCAGGAUCUGUUAUCACGGGAAGCAUCUACUUUAAUGCAGAUGUUAUAAGAAGCAUAUUCCUUUAUCUACAAUAAAAGUUAAUUAUAUUAUUUUACCAAUAAUGUAUUUUGUGCCCUGGG